AGAGUUUGAUCCUGGCUCAGGACGAACGCUGGCGGCGCGCCUAACACAUGCAAGUCGAACGAGAGAGAGGGAGCUUGCUUCCUCAAUCGAGUGGCGAACGGGUGAGUAACGCGUGAGGAACCUGCCUCAAAGAGGGGGACAACAGUUGGAAACGACUGCUAAUACCGCAUAAGCCCACGGCUCGGCAUCGAGCAGAGGGAAAAGGAGCAAUCCGCUUUGAGAUGGCCUCGCGUCCGAUUAGCUAGUUGGUGAGGUAAUGGCCCACCAAGGCGACGAUCGGUAGCCGGACUGAGAGGUUGAACGGCCACAUUGGGACUGAGACACGGCCCAGACUCCUACGGGAGGCAGCAGUGGGGAAUAUUGCACAAUGGGGGAAACCCUGAUGCAGCGACGCCGCGUGGAGGAAGAAGGUCUUCGGAUUGUAAACUCCUGUUGUUGAGGAAGAUAAUGACGGUACUCAACAAGGAAGUGACGGCUAACUACGUGCCAGCAGCCGCGGUAAAACGUAGGUCACAAGCGUUGUCCGGAAUUACUGGGUGUAAAGGGAGCGCAGGCGGGCGAUCAAGUUGGAAGUGAAAUCCAUGGGCUCAACCCAUGAACUGCUUUCAAAACUGAUUGUCUUGAGUAGUGCAGAGGUAGGCGGAAUUCCCGGUGUAGCGGUGGAAUGCGUAGAUAUCGGGAGGAACACCAGUGGCGAAGGCGGCCUACUGGGCACCAACUGACGCUGAGGCUCGAAAGUGUGGGUAGCAAACAGGAUUAGAUACCCUGGUAGUCCACACCGUAAACGAUGAUUACUAGGUGUUGGAGGAUUGACCCCUUCAGUGCCGCAGUUAGCACAAUAAGUAAUCCACCUGGGGAGUACGACCGCAAGGUUGAAACUCAAAGGAAUUGACGGGGGCCCGCACAAGCAGUGGAGUAUGUGGUUUAAUUCGACGCAACGCGAAGAACCUUACCAAGUCUUGACAUCCUGCGACGAUGCUAGAAAUAGUAUUUUCCUUCGGGACGCAGAGACAGGUGGUGCAUGGUUGUCGUCAGCUCGUGUCGUGAGAUGUUGGGUUAAGUCCCGCAACGAGCGCAACCCUUAUGGUCAGUUACUACGCAAGAGGACUCUGGCCAGACUGCCGUUGACAAAACGGAGGAAGGUGGGGAUGACGUCAAAUCAUCAUGCCCUUUAUGACUUGGGCUACACACGUACUACAAUGGCGUUAAACAAAGAGAAGC
rnacentral:rRNA from 1 species